UUUUUUUUUUUUUUUUUUUUUUUUGCUUUCUAGGGUCACACAUGAGGCAUAUGGAAGUUUCCAAGCUAGGAGUCAAUUUGGAGCUACAGUCACUAGCCUAUGCCAUAGCCACAGCAAUGUUAGCUCUGAACCAUGUCUGCGACCUACACCACAGCUCAUGACAAUGCCAGAUCCUUAACCCACUGAGCAAAGCCAGGGAUUGAAUCUGCAUCCUCAUGGAUCCUUGUCAGGUUCGUUAACCACUGAGGGGGUUCCCACAAAGGGAACUCUCAGAACUCAUAUUCUUAAUUGAAUGACAUGGAGAGAUCUGAAAAAUCCCACAGUAAGGGGAAAAAUGACCUUGAAUGACAGUGGUUGGAAAAGUGGAGGUGGAGAGAAACGCUCCAACCACCUCUGCUGGAGUCUGGUCGUGCUGUGUUUGGUGCAGCCUGCAGAGCUGACUGGGAGGCCCUGGGCCAGGCCUGAGCUGGUAUGGCAGGGGUCCAAUCAGAGCUGUUGAUGCUGGCCUAUGCCACAGCCACAGCAAUGCCAGAUCUAAGCCGUGUCUACGACCUACACCACAGCUCACAGCAAUGCCGGAUCCUUAACCCACUGAGCGAGGCCAGGGAUCGAACCCGCAACCUCAUGGUUCCUAGUUGGAUUCAUUUCUGUUGCUCCACAAUAGGAACUCCCAAGGCUCAGUUUUGAUGGUGACAAUCUUUGUCUCCAUUGUCUUUGGUUUCUCUUAUAGCCCAUCCCCCACCCAUGCACUUGCCCAUCCCAAACCUGCUCUCCUAAUAAACCCAGGGAGAGGAUUUUUUUUCCUCUUUUUAUGAGCCACCUGCAGCAUAUAGAAGUUCCCAGGCUAGGGGUCCAAUGAGAGAUACAGCUGCCGCCCUGCACCACAGCCUCAGCAACACUGGAUCUGAGCUUCUUCUGAGACCUACACCACAACUCGAAGGAAUGCCAGAUCCUUAACCCACUGAGCAAGGCCAGGGAUCGAACCCACAUCCUCAAGACGCUAUGUUUUGUUCCUAAUUGAGCCACAAUGGGAAUUCCAAAAGGGGAGGGGGGUUAAAUGCCUCCAAGCCUAAUCCUGAGCCCCUCACCAGCAUAUUUUAUUCUACGAGAAGACCAAGAGGGGAAAUGCAAAUGGUGGAGGGGCAGGAAGAAGCAUCACAGGAGCAGUGGCAGGCUGCUGUCAGGCUGGUACAUCUAGGCUGUGUUGAGACCCUGGGAGAUGACAGAGCAUUCCUGGCAGACAGGGCACCACUCUCACAGACAACAGGAGUGUUCUGAACAGCUGAGGUCUGUGAGAACAGGGGGUCUAACUAGAAAAAGCAUUAUACAGGAGCCCUUUUUCCUUGUUUCCUUGUCCCCAUAUGAUUUGAGUCAGAGAGGGGAUGGGGGCCAUGACAACCCUCUGUUAGCAGGUCAGGACGAAGCCAGCAGAGUCCAUAACAAAAUCACAGCCAUUUUCUGGGACCCUGCUGGGUGCCCGGUCCCACAUGUGGGGACCCAGAGAAGUAAAUGAUUGGCUCUCCACAAAGACGCUGGCCAAGCCCAAGUGCAAAGACUACUCACAUGGCAGAAUAAGAGGCUCGGAAAGGAGGAGCUGUGAAGGGAGAAAUAUCCAGCCCAUUCUCAAAAGUCAGGCCAGGGCAGCCAACCACCAGAAAUGAAGCCAGGAGAGGGAAAGAAAUGGGGGGGUCCAGCCUGAGGUUUGGGGUUGCCUUCUCUGGGAGCCAGAGGGCCUAGCACCCCCCCACCCACCCAGGAAUCUGCAGAUCAGAACACUGGAGUCUCAUCCUAUAUCUGCCCCUCACUAGCUCUGUGAGCAUCAGUUUAUCUGUCAAAUGGAGUGAAGUCGCUUGUCCCAGUCACCUUGCAGGAAGGUAUACACAAACGUGCUUUGGAGAAGCCAACCGCGGUGUAGAAUGGAGGGGUUGGUAUCAGGAAAUUUGAGAGAAAAUGAGAGAAAAGGUCAGUGGUGGGUGAGCAGAAUAAGAAUUGGGUCUGGACAGGAAGGAGGAAUGCACGGGAGCCGGGACGAGAGGCUGGAGAUGUGGACACAAAAUCUGCGCAUGCGCUCUGAGGGGCUAUUAAUCAGGGCUCCUUGGGCGAGUCAUGUCCUCAUCCUGCAUCUCAGCGUCCUCACCUGUAAAGCGAUGCCUUCCAUUGGAACAGUCUACGACUCCAAGGGCUCUGGUGGUCCUCCCAGAGGUCAGACCUGCCUCCAGGGACUUUGUUAAAAGGCAGGUUCCCAGGCUCCGUGGUAGAUUCACUGGGCAUCUCUGGAGCCGCUUCUGAGAGCCCACAUAACCCAACACGACUCCUGGGAGCUGCUUUAGCACAGUGAUAUUUCAGAACCACUGCCCUGCACAUGUGUCCUAUGCAGCAACUAGAUAUAGGAGACAUGUCUCAUGUAAGAUGGGGAUCCAAAGAGGAAGGACAGAAGCCAGAGCAACACCCACCCAGGAGCACAGAUGGAGGAGGGAGAGAAUAUUCAGCCUCUCCUGUCUCAGACCCCUUGGUAGCAGCGGCUUUAAGCCCACUAGUCUCCAUAGCGUCUUGGGGCUGGAAGAGAUGCUUUCAGUUCAACAGCAGGUGGCCCCCCUGCAAUUCAAGACCCACCAACACUACACUGUCUCUCCAGCUCAAACCCUCCUCUUCUUCCAACUUUCCCUGAUCUCCAUCCUCUGUGUCCCUUCUGGCCACACCAUCUGACGCUUCAUGGGACAUGGUCCAUUAUUGCUAUCCAGUGGUCUCACCUGUACCAGAUCCAUGUGCCCACAGUGGUGAGCCCCUUGAGGGCAGGGAGCUGGGUACCUUCUAUGGGGCCAUCCACAGCUUCUGGCAAAGGUUCAGGCACCCUGAAGGCAUUUAACAACUAAUACCUGGUCUGGUAUUUGCUCUUCCUUCUCCCUGCCUCCUUCCUCCCAUGCUGCCACCUCCCCAUGACCACUCCCACACACACAUACACACACUCCACACACCUUAGCCCAAGUGACUGACUUGCUGACAUCUGCCCUUAGUCACCACUGAGAAACCACGCACACUGGUCUGAUUAUUCCCUGAUCUGGAAAAAUCCCACUUUACCUCUCACCUCCAGCCCCCACUCCUGACCCUGGGCCAGGGUGAAGGUAGAGAUGAGAGGAGUGACAUCUAAUGAAGGCCCCUUCCUUCCUCCCCCAAGCUGGCAGGCAGGAAGGAGGGAUACUUCUGAGGCGAACCUCGGUGACUCCUGGCAGAAGGUGGCUUCCUGUUUCUAAGAACCUAGGCCUUGAAACAAUCUUCUUCAUCUGCCCUCCUCCCCAUGCAGAUGGCAUUGUGGUGAAUCUCAAGCACAGCCUCAGAUUUCCCUCCCAGAGCUCUCAGACCUUCAAAGGAAACGGGAAGCCAGCAGGCUGCUGAGAUACCCGCUGGAUUUGACUAAACUGAGCCAUUUGGAAAAGCCGCAGAAAAUCCACCCAAACCACCCAGUGCCAAGACCUGGGAAGAGCUUCCAGAACCCCAGGCCCCCACCAUGCCCUUCCUUGGAUCGCCCAGGCUGUCACAGGGAUACAGUUUACAAGGAACACUUUCCAAGGCUGUCUGCAUCCCUUCUCUGGACCCCCCUCAAUCCUGCCAACCUUUGGUUCAUGGUCCUAAUGGCCAGGCUGAGAACUGGACAGCCUUCGGACUCUGUUGGCUUAAAUAGGGUAUGAGUUCAACCAGCAAUAGGUGCUUGAAAAAAAAAAAUGCCUGAAAUAAAGUUCUGUUGAAUUGAGCUGAUGUGUAGUCGUUGAAUUAAUUUCAUAUCUAACAGCCUAUUAGCUGAGAACCCACUGGGUGCCAGGCACAUGCUAGAUUCUUAGAACUCGGGAGUGAACGAACUCCAUAUCCUCAAAGCGCUCACCAAGCUGAGAGGUGAGCCAGACAGCUAGACUCUCUGCUGGGGCUUGAACCUGCUAACAUUCCCCUUCUUCUCUCACUGAUGGGCCUGGGCCUCCAGAAGCUGAGCUGGAUGCCAGCUGAGCACCAGAGAGAAGGAAGACAAAGAUGGCCUCAGCUGCCGUCUUUGCAGCUGCAGUGUGGCUUUGAAGCCAUUCCCAUUAAAAGGCUGAGUUGAGGACUUCCCACUGUGGCACAAUAGGAUCAGCAGCAGCUUGGGAGCAAUGGGACGAAGGUUUGAUCCCCCAGCACAGUGGGCUAGAUCCAGCAUUGCAGCAGCUGCAGCUUAGGUCACAACUGCAGCUUGGAUCUGAUCCCUGGCCCAGGAGCUCCAUAAGCCAUGGGGCAGCCAAAAAAAUUGGGGGUGAGGGAAGAGGCUGAGUCGAUUUCCCUACCCUAGAAUUGGCAAGGCUUCAUGACUUGUUUUGGCCAAUAGGAAGUGGCAGAAGUAACUUUUCUGGUCCAAAGCCUGGGCCUCAGAGGGGCUUGCACAUUUCCUCUCUCUGUCUCAAAUUCUUGCUUACCAUGUAAGCAAGCCUGAGCUAACCUGCUGGAUGAGGAGAUCUCAGAGGACAAAGCAGCCCAGUUCUCCUGGCCAAGAACCAUAGCUGGGUAGGAGAGCCCACGCUAAGAGUGGGAAACCACACUUGCAGAAGCCCCACUGAGCCUCCAUGAGGCCAGGUGAACUAUGUUCAGGCUUCUAGGAGAACUUCGAGCUAUAAUAAAUGGGUUUGUUCUCAGCCACUGGUUGUUGGAUGACAUUACACAGCAGAUUACGGCUUUAGAUAUUGACACAAGCCCCCGCCCCCUUCCAGCCAACCUACUGCAGACAAAAAGCAGGUUUACCCCUCAGCUACUUCCCAUCCCAACCUGGCCCCGAACAGGUAAAGGGAGAGAAUUCAGGGCUGGGAUCCUUGUGCUGAGUGCCACCUAUUAGCUCGCUUCUCUCAAACCCCAGCUUGGGCAUUCCCCUGGGUAAAUGCUAGCUGAGAUCCUGAGCUCCAUUGAAAGUAAACCUGAUGUCAUCCUCUAAGUCAGGAAUUAUAGUAACAUCAUGGACUUUGGUGUCUGACAGACCUGGGUUUGAGUCCUAGCUCUGCCAUUUACCAACUUCAGCUUAGUCGCUUUAAUCACUCAGCCUUGGCAGACUCAUCUGUAAAGUGGGGAUGAUGGCAAAGCUGGUUCCUCAAAGGACGGCUCUGAGGAUUACAUGAGAUGGCAUAGGUAAAGCAGCAGUUCUCAGGAGGGGGUGAUUUAGCCCUUUGGGGGACCUUUGGCAAUAUGGGGAGAUAGUUUUGCUUGUUACCAAGUGGGGGGUUGUGGGGGUGGGGACAGGUUCUGCUACUGACAUCUAGUGGAUAGAAGCCAGGCAUGCUGCUAAACAUCCUACAAAGCACAGGACAGCCCCUGGAGAAAGAGUUCUCAGCCCCAAAUGUCAAGAUGCCAAAGCAGAGAAACCCCGAGGUCC
rnacentral:lncRNA from 1 species